rnacentral:rRNA from 1 species
AAAUCCCAUAAAGUUGUUCUCAGUUCGGAUUGUAGUCUGCAACUCGACUACAUGAAGCUGGAAUCGCUAGUAAUCGUAGAUCAGCAUGCUACGGUGAAUACGUUCCCGGGUCUUGUACACACCGCCCGUCACACCACGAGAGUUUGUAACACCCGAAGCCGGUGGAGUAACCUUUUAGGAGCUAGCCGUCGAAGGUGGGACAAAUGAUUGGGGUGAAGUCGUAACAAGGUAGCCGUAUCGGAAGGUGCGGCUGGAUCACCUCCUUUCUAAGGA